CCUGGUGGUUAUGGCGCAGGUGAUACACCCGUUCCCAUCCCGAACACGGAAGUUAAGCCCUGCUGCGCCGAUGGUACUGUGUGGUAAACUGCAUGGGAGAGUAGGACGCCGCCAGGU
rfam:Haloalkaliphilic bacterium ACht6-1 contig00080, whole genome shotgun sequence.